rnacentral:rRNA from 1 species
UACAGAGGGUGCGAGCGUUAAUCGGAAUUACUGGGCGUAAAGCGUGCGUAGACGGUCAUGUAAGUCGGGUGUGAAAGCCCCGGGCUCAACCUGGGAAUUGCAUUCGAGACUGCAUGGCUAGGAUGCGGAAGAGGGAAGCGGAAUUUCCGGUGUAGCGGUGAAAUGCUUAGAUAUGACAUAGAACACCAAUUGCGAAGGCAGCUUACUACACAAUUAUUGACGCUGAGGCACGAAAGCGUGGGGAUCAAACAGG